CGAACCGUGACGGGAGAGCCCGCUGCCCAGCCAGGCAGCCGGCGCCGAAGGAGCAACCUCCCCGGGAAUCUCUCAGGCCCACGUACCGCCACGGUGAG
rnacentral:ncRNA from 2 species